rnacentral:rRNA from 1 species
GGGUUAAAAUUCCCGUACUUUUAUGCAGUGCGAUGUGGGGACGGAGAAGGUUAGGUCAUCAGACUGUUGGAAUAGUCUGUUUAAGCCGGUAGGCUGGGGUGGUAGGCAAAUCCGCCGCCCCUUAAGGCCGAGACGUGAUGACGAGGGUCUACGGACCUGAAGUGACUGAUACCACGCUUCCAGGAAAAGCCACUAAGCUUCAGCUGCAUAAGAACCGUACCGCAAACCGACACAGGUGGGCAGGAUGAGAAUUCUAAGGCGCUUGAGAGAACUCAGGAGAAGGAACUCGGC